rnacentral:lncRNA from 1 species
AGCGCAAACAUGUUUUCCUUAUAAUUAUAGCUUGUGAAAUGUUAGUACAACACAAUGUUAUAACAUACAAAAUAGAAUCAGGAUUUUCACAAAAUAAAAUUACAAUGUGAAACUAUUUCUAAUACACUUUAGAUUUUCACAUUCUCAUGAUCCUUCAAAGAGUUGUGUGGCAUGUAUAUGAGCAAUUUCUUUAGCUUCAAGGACAUGAAGAUGACAUAUGCUAGAAAUCUCUUGUGCUAAACUUUUUCAGCGAUGGUCGAGAGCUUUAUUCUCCAUACCAAGGAGAUUUUGAUGGUUAAGAAAUUCAAGGUCAGCUGAUACUCCAUACCCUUCUUCCUAUUAUUGAUGGAAAAGAAUUAAAAUCAAGAUUUUUCAUAUAGCAUAAACAUGGAUUUUCAAUAAACAUCACUUGGACCCUUCUUCCUAUUUGUAAAUAUUACAUCUGAAAGCAUCUCAGGAGGUACCUGUUUUCACCAAACAUAAAACAAAUCAUCAAUUUUGCUUAAAAGUUCCUAGCUCUUAUCCAAUUAUUUGUUUAACACAACACACACUCUUAACCUACGAUACUAAAAAUUUACCCGCUAGAGUGUUGCUUCAACACCUUCAACAGAAGCUGACCCUCUGUGUAAUUCUCUAGCCAUAGUGUCUACAUGUCCAUACAAGGAGUAAUACAUGCAAAAAGAAGAUGCGAUACAUAAAAGGCAUGAAACUACAAAAUUCAAAAUUUUCAUAUUAUCAUUAAAUUUGAUGAAUAGCUAAAGCCUAAAAGAAUAGUUGAAAAUAUGUUUACACAAUGUAGACCUUGGCGAUAGCCAUCCCUAAGGGUUAGUUUGGGAGUUGGAUUUUGGAGGGGAGGGAAGGGAAAGGGAAGGUUUGAGAGCCAUGAAAUACACUUAUGAGAACUAACCCAUGUAUGGCCUAAAAAUAAGCAACUAGAUUAGGGAAAUGGAACAGGAAAUAAGGAAUUUUUUGAGAUUAACUUUGUGGAAAUGAUCACUAGUCAACAAAAAUAUAAACAUGGAUUUUCAAUAAACAUCAUUUGGACCCUUCUUCCUGUUGUUGAUGGAAAAAAGAACAGAUUUUAUCAUAUAGCAUAAACAUGAAUUUUCAAUAAACAUCACUUGUAAAUCAUGCAGAAUAUUGCCUUAUGCUAAGACAUCUUCCUAGUUAUCACCUCACCUCAUGUUUGACACUUGAUUCAACAGCAACAAGAACCACCACCAAGUAUUACCUUACCAGGUGGAGACUUUUUAUAAUGCAAAACAUGAAUUACACCUUCAAAACAUUGCAUUCCAAGUACACAAAGGUGUAUAAUUUUUAUAGGCAUCUUCAAUUCAUUUUCUCAAUUAUAAUUAUUGGAAAUGUGUGAGAGUGAUGAUGGUCCAUAGAUAGAACCUAACUGUCUAUGAGGAAAAGGCAGUCAUGUGAUAAUACAAAGAACAAUACAUCACAAAUGGAAAUCAAAGUCAGAACACUCAACUACACAUACAUUAUUGAUCUUUUUUAACCAAAAUUAAAUUUUAAAAAAAAUAACAAAAGUAUGUGACUGUCAAAAUGUUAGUAUUAGAAGAUAAUAUGUCCAAAUUCUUAGAACAUACAUUGAAGCAGACGAAAAAAUAAUUUAAUAAUCUUGAAUUGUCACUAACUUUGCUUAUAAAAAAAAUUAAAAUUUUAAAUAUUGUAUCAAACUUGCAGUAACAUAGCAGUGAACAGAAAAUGGUUCACUAAAAAUGAAGAAAAAACAAUUGAAUUUAAAUCUUCUGAGUAUUUUUUAUUCGACAAGGGAGAAGGAAAAAAAGAAGGAAAGUGAAACUAGAAAAAACAUGGAGCUGUUGAAUUAGUCAAAGUAAACUAGUGUUAAUUAGGUCUGCUUUAUUUGCUUCUGUUUAUAAAUCCUAUUUAUUAGGAUAUUGCAGUUUGUUUCAUUUGCCUCAAGUAGAGUAACACGUUUAUAGGAGUGGAAAACGUGGGAAGUUUUCUUUUCUGUUCUGUUUUUAUGUAAGGUUAUAUAAGCCAAUUUCUGAUUGGAUAAAGGUGUGGGUUUUGCAAAACUUCAAUUCUAGUUUUCUGUUCCUAAUAUUCAACAAAUCUGGUAUCAGAGCUCCAUCACAGGGGCCUGAUAAGAAAAGAAAGAGAGUGAAAGAGUUAUGGCUACAUAAAGCAAUUCUGUGCAACCUGCAAUUCCUAAGUUUGAUGGCCAUUAUGAUCAUUGGUCUAUGCUUAUGGAAAACUUCCUUCGAUCCAAAGAAUAUUGGACUUUAGUUGUGAAUGGAAUACCUACUGCAUCCAAUGGAGGAGAGUUGACUGAGGCUGAACACAAACUGAUUGAGGAGCAUAAAUUAAAGGAUCUCAAAGUCAAGAAUUACUUGUUUCAAGCCAUAGAUAGGACAAUUUUGGAAACUAUCUUUGUCAAGGAUACAUCAAAGUAGAUUUGGGACUCUAUGAAGCAAAAGUAUCAUGGAUCAACAAGGGUGAAGCGGGCACAGAUGCAAGCAUUGAGAAGAGAGUUUGAGGUUCUGCAAAUGAAGGAAGGAGAAGGAGUAGACGAUUACUUUGCUCGUACUCUAACCAUUGCUAAUAAGAUGAAGAUACAUGGUGAGAAGAUGGAUCAAGUGGUUAUCAUAGAGAAAAUUUUAAGGUCUAGGACCUCAAAUUUUGAAUAUGUCGUUUGUUCAGUGGAAAAAACAAAUGAUUUGGACACUCUAACAAUUGAUGAGCUACAGAGCAGCCUCUUAGUCUAUGAGCAAAGAAUGAAAGAGCAUGGAGGUGAUGAACAAGCUCUCAAAAUUUCUUAUGAUGACAAGUUUGGAGGUAGAGGAAGAGGAAGAGGAUCAUUUAGAGGUCGAGGUAGAAGAAGACAAACAUUCAACAAAGCAAUUGUGGAGUGUUACAAGUGCCAUAAACUAGAACAUUUUCAAUAUGAAUGUCCUAGUUAGGAAAAGAAUGCAAACUAUGCUGAAGUGAAGGGAGAAGAAGAAGAAGAGACGUUGCUAAUGUCUCAUAUGGAACUUCAAGAUUCUAUAAAGAAGGAUGUGUGGUUUCUUGAUUCAGGUUGUAGUAACCAUAUGUGUGGGAACAAGAAAUGGUUCUCACACAUUGAUGGAAGUUUUAGAUAAUCUGUAAAGCUUGGGAAUAAUUCUAAGAUGGCAGUCACUGGAAAAGGAAGCAUUAGAUUGGAGGUUAGUGGGAUAAAACAUGUGAUCAUAGAUGUAUUUUACAUACCAGAGUUGAAAAAUAACCUGCUUGGCAUUGAGCAACUUCAAGAAAAAGGUCUAACUGUCUUGAUCAAGGGAGGAAAGUGUAAAUUGUAUCAUCCAAAGAAAGGCCUAAUCAUGGAGAUAAGAAUGUCUGUGAACAGAAUGUUUGUGCUUUCAGCCACAAUGUUGCCUAGUGAUUCUACCUGCUUUCAAACUACUUUAGAAGAUGAGUCAUACUUAUGGCACUGCAGGUAUGGUCAUAUUAAUUUCAACAGCUUAAAAGCAUUGCAAAACAAGAAGAUGGUGAAUGAGUUACCUACACUUAAGACUCCUAGCGAGCUAUGUACAGACUGCCUAGUGGGGAAGCAACAUCUAACACUAUUACAAAGACAAGUUCAUGGAUGGCUUGCAAAAGGCUUCAGCUUGUCCAUGCAGAUAUUUAUGGGCCAAUCAAACCAGAUUCAAACUCUAAAAAACGGUAUUUGAUUAGUUUCAUUGAUGAUUUUAGCAGAAAAAUUUGGAUUUAUUUCUUAUGUGAAAAAUCAGAAGCAUUUGGGGUGUUUAAGAUUUUUAAGCAGCAUGUUGAAAAGGAAUCUGGUGAUUUCAUAAAAUGCUUGCGCACAGACAGGGGUGGUGAAUUUACUUCUUUGGAGUUUAAUAAUUUUUGUAGGGAGAAUGGAAUUAAAAGGCAAUUGACAACAGCGUAUACCACUCCACAAAAUGGGGUGGCUGAGCGAAAUGAUCGAGCUAUAAUGAAUAUGGUUCGAAGUAUGUUGUCUGAAAAAGAAGUGCCUAAGGUGUUUUGGCAAGAAGCUGUAAAUUGGAGUGUGCAUGUGUUGAAUCGAAGUCCAACCAUGGCAGUGAAGGAUGUCACCCCAGAAGAAGCGUGGAGUAGUGUCAAACCUACAAUAGGCUAUUUUCGAGUGUUUGAAUGUGUUGCACAUGUACACAUUCCAGACAAGAAGAGAAUAAAAUUAGAUGAUAAGAGCUUUCAAUGUGUAUUGUUGGGGGUGAGUGAAGAAUCAAAGGCCUAUAGGCUUUAUGAUCUUGCAUCUAAAGGCAUUGUUGUUAGCAGGGAUGUAGUAUUUGAGGAGAAUUUGAGCUGGAAUUGGGGAAGAAAAAUAGAAGUAGUGAAGCUUGAUGUUUUAGAAUGGGGAGAUGAAAAUGAACAAAAUGAAUUUGAUAUAGGCAAUGAAGAGGAGAAUGGUGAGCAUGAUGAAGAAGAUGGAGCCACUUUAUCCUCAAGUGAGUCUUUAGGUCAAAGUCCACCAAGCUCAAAUAAAGGGAGGAGCAGAAGGCCUCCAGUUUGGAUGGAAGAUUAUAUCACUGGAGAGGGGUUAGAUUUAUUUGAAGAAGAUGUUGACAACUUUGUCAUGUUUGUUGCUGCUAAUCCUAUAACAUUUCAAGAGGCUGUGAAAAGCAUAAAGUGGAGAGAAGCUAUGAAUUUAGAAAUAAAAUCUAUUGAAAAAAAAAUGAGACAUGGGAGCUAACCACUCUACCUCUUGGAGCUAAGAAAAUUGGUGUGAAAUGGGUGUUUAAAACAAAGCUUAAUGAACAUGGUGCGGUGGACAAAUGCAAAGCACGACUUGUGGCUAAGGGAUAUGCACAAGAACAUGGAAUUGAUUAUAAUUAGGUGUUUGCCCCAGUUGCAAGAUGGGACACAAUCAGGAUGGUGAUUGUCCAUGCAACACAAAAGGGUUGGAAUAUUUUUCAACUAGAUGUAAAGAGUGCUUUCUUGCAUGGUGAGUUGUUAGAGGAUAUUUUUGUGGAGCAACCACAAGGUUAUGAGAGGAGAGGAGAAGAGUAUAAAGUCUACAAGCUCAAGAAUGCAUUAUAUGGUCUUAAACAAGCUCCAAGGGCAUGGUACAGCAGCAUUGAAUCUUAUUUUAUGAAGCAAGGGUUUGAAAAAUGUAGCUUUGAGCAUACACUCUUUAUCAAGUCUGAAAUUGGAGGAAAUCUUCUUGUUGUCAGUUUUAUUGUUGAUGACCUUAUAUUUACUGGCAAUGAUUUGGAGAUGUUUGAUAAUUUUAAAAAAUCUAUGAUGCUAGAAUUUGAAAUGAGUGAUCUUGGCAGAAUGAAGUAUUUUCUAGGAGUUGAAGUCUUACAAAAUGAAGAAGGGAUCUAUAUCAGCCAAAAGGAGUAUGCUCAGGAUGUGCUAGAAAAUUUUGGAAUGGGAAAGAGCAAUUCAGUCAAUAAUCCUAUUGUAUCAGGUUCUAAAUUGAUGAAAGAUGAGAUGGGAGUUAAGGUUGAUAAUAUUGCCUUCAAGCAAAUGGUUGGAAGUCUUAUGUACUUAACUGUGACAAGGCCUGAUCUGAUGUUUGUUAUUAGUUUGAUCAUCAGAUUUAUGGGAAGACCCACUGAAUUACAUUGGCAAGCUGCAAAAAGAGUUCUUAGAUAUGUGAAUGGCACUGUGAAUUUAGGAAUUUUGUAUAAGAGGGGUGGAAAUGAGAAUUUGCUUGGUUACACUGAUAGUGACUAUGCUGGUGAUUUAGAUGAUCGUAAAAGCACUUCUGGAUAUGUGUUCUUGCUAGGAAGUGGAGUUGUAUCAUGGUCUUCAAAGAAACAAUCAAUUGUAACUUUAUCCACUACUGAGGCAGAGUUUGUAGCUGCUGCCUCAUGUGCUUGCCAAAGAAUUUGGAUGAUAAGAGUACUAGAGAGGCUUGGUCAUGUUCAAGAAAAGAGUACCAAAUUGUUUUGUGACAAUAGCUCAACCAUUAAGCUGUCAAAGAAUCUGGUGCUGCAUGGGAGGAGUAAACAUAUUGAUGUAAGGUUCCAUUUCCUUUGAGAUCUUACUAAAGAUGGUGUGGUUGAGCUUAUUCACUGUUUUUCAGAAAAUCAAGUUGCAUAUAUUAUGACCAAACCCCUAAAGCUUGAUACAUUCUUGAAGCUCAGAGAACAGCUUGGUAUUUGUACAAUACCAGAAGUAAACUGUUUGCAGUCUGCAAAUCAGUUUAAGGGAGGAAAUUGUUGAAUUAGUCAAAGUAAACUAGUGUUACUUAGGUCUGCUUUAUUUGCUUCUGUUUGUAAAUCCUAUUUAUUAGGAUAUUGUAGUUUGUUUCAUUUGCCUCAAGUAGAGUAACACGUUUAUAGGAGUGGAAAAUGUAGGAAGUUUUUUUUUCUGUUAUGUUUUUAUGUAAGGCUAUAUAAGUCAGUUUCUGAUUGAAUAAAGGUGUGGGUUUUGCAGAACUUCAAUUCUAGUUUUCUGUUCCUAAUAUUCAACAGGAGCUAAUAAAAUAAAUCUCUAAGGUAGAAGACAAAGUUCUAAUUUUUACAUAGAAAGUAAAUAAAUAAAAAUGGUACAUCGACGGAAAAUAUUAUGUGAAUUCUUCUUCUUCUUCGCACAAAACAUAAUAGAGAGAGAAAGAGAAGAAGAAGAGAGAGAGAAUUUGCAGAUUUGAACGAGGUUGAAGAGAUUAGAGCUAAAUUAAAUUAGUGUUUCGUGAAUGAAUGAGAAGUGAAGGAGAGUGUGAGUGAAUGAAUGAGAAGCGGGGGUGAGUUUUUCUGUUAAGUGAAGGUGAAGGAAUGAAUGAGGGGAGGGUGAAAGUGAAAGAGAUGGUAUGAAACCCUUGGUUUCCGGUGGGAGAAGAAGAUGAAAAAAUGAGAAAGAAAAUAAAAAAUAUAAAAAUGAGGGACACGUGUCAUUGGAUAAUUGGUGUAAGGAGAAGAGUUUUCUCCUCACACCAUAAGAUACAUUAUUCCCUAAGAAAAAGUAUGAAAAUGCUUAUUGUUAGCUUUAAGAGAAACAAACAAAACAAAACAAAAAAUAUCAAAUUAUUAUUUUGUGUAUUUGA